UACGUAGGUGGCGAGCGUUAUCCGGAUUUACUGGGUGUAAAGGGCGUGUAGGCGGGCGAGCAAGUCAGAUGUGAAAUUCCAGGGCUCAACCCUGGAACUGCAUUUGAAACUGUUGGUCUUGAGUGUUGGAGAGGCAGGCGGAAUUCCGUGUGUAGCGGUGAAAUGCGUAGAUAUACGGAGGAACACCAGUGGCGAAGGCGGCCUGCUGGACAAUAACUGACGCUGAGGCGCGAAAGCGUGGGGAGCAAAC
rnacentral:rRNA from 1 species